rnacentral:rRNA from 1 species
UACGUAGGGUGCAAGCGUUGUCCGGAAUUAUUGGGCGUAAAGAGCUCGUAGGCGGUUCGUCGCGUCGGCUGUGAAAUCCCGAGGCUCAACCUCGGGUCUGCAGUCGAUACGGGCGGACUGGAGUUCGGCAGGGGAGACUGGAAUUCCUGGUGUAGCGGUGAAAUGCGCAGAUAUCAGGAGGAACACCGGUGGCGAAGGCGGCUCACUGGCCCGGUACUGACGCUGAGGUGCGAAAGCGUGGGGAGCAAACAGG